AUUGAACGCUGGCGGCAUGCUUUACACAUGCAAGUCGGACGGCAGCACAGAGAAGCUUGCUUCUUGGGUGGCGAGUGGCGAACGGGUGAGUAACAUAUCGGAACGUACCGAGCAGUGGGGGAUAACUAAUCGAAAGAUUAGCUAAUACCGCAUAUCUUCUGAGGAAGAAAGCGGGGGACCAUUUGGCCUUGCGCUGUUUGAGCGGUCGAUAUCUGAUUAGCUAGUUGGUGGGGUAAAGGCCUACCAAGGCGACGAUCAGUAGCGGGUCUGAGAGGAUGAUCCGCCACACUGGGACUGAGACACGGCCCAGACUCCUACGGGAGGCAGCAGUGGGGAAUUUUGGACAAUGGGCGCAAGCCUGAUCCAGCCAUGCCGCGUGUCUGAAGAAGGCCUUCGGGUUGUAAAGGACUUUUGUCAGGGAAGAAAAGGGCGGGGUUAAUACCCCUGUCUGAUGACGGUACCUGAAGAAUAAGCACCGGCUAACUACGUG
rnacentral:rRNA from 1 species